AAUGAACUCUUCUACAUAGAAAGUGAAUGGCUGAAACACUGGUUUAUAACCAUGACAAGACACCACAUCACUAUUACAGCUUCCCUGUCGAGAAGACAUGUGCCUCAUUCUGCCUCCUGUUCUGGAACAAGAGGUCGAUUUAAGAUAAUCGCCGUUCCUCCUGAAGUAGCCAACAGACGAGAUGUGAAGCAGAGGAGCUGGAGCAGCGCCGCUUCCACGCCACAUCCUGGAGGUCACAGUACCGAGCACGUCCAGAUAGAAGCCAUGGCCACUUCCUCCACGAUUGGCCGUUUCUCAGUCGUGAGCGCCGAAGAUGACAUUACACAGAGGACGCGCUGCAGCCGUUACUCCGCUCCCCCUGACUUCUACCUGGAUACUCCUCCCUCCAUGGCCAAGCGGGCGUCCGUGUCGCACACCCUGACGUCCCCCUCUGUCCCCACGGAUAUCACGGUGCACGGCCGUUCCCUCUCCUCGGACUCUGGUGCCGAGAGCAGCCCAGUGAAGCUGGCUCCAGCCACGCCAUCCAAACGCACCCGCACGGAACGCAGAGGAAGUGACCUCAUGAAAAGGGCGGUGGCCUUCCUCCGGCGCUCGGGACGCAGCAGCAGUUUACAGAGCUCCGACUCCCCGGGUAGACACGGAGGCAUGUACGGGUCGGCGUACGCCAGCAGUGAUAAUGAUUCUGAUACCUACCGAGCAGCCAUUCUACUAGUAGAUGGCAAACAUCACCAGAGAAUGAAAUGAGAGCUGUUCUGUUUUCUUUAAUGGGGAGGGAAAUGAUAGAUUUCUGUUUUUCUUACACUGGUGUUUUUUUUUUUUUUUUGUUUUUUUCCCCCUCUUUGAUUAUACUUCUCUACAGGCUGGUCUAAUAGCUCACUGGCUUCAUUUGUUCUGUCUUUGCCAGAAGCUUAAAACAAUUAAAGCAGGGGUGGGGAACCUUUUUCAUAUCGAGGGCCAUUUCAAUUUUUAUAAAGUCCUCCGAGGGCCAUACUAUUAUGAACACAUAGGGAUGCAAAAAAAAGUCUAUAACCACUGUUACUAAGUCUCAUGAUUACUGCAUUUGAGUUUGAAUUAUUUAACACACAUGCAUAUAAAAUCACCAAAAAAAAUAGAAUAAAAUGACAAGUAAAAUAUGUUUUCAUGGUCAUACAAAACAAUAAAAAGAGGUGCAGAGUUGAGGCAAGAGACCUGUCAGGGCCUGUUCGAGGCCUCUACUUACAAAAACUGCAAUACAACAAGAUAAUCAAGAAAAUAAAUGGAAAAGAUAAAGACAAUAAUAAUAACUAGAAAUCACUCGGAGAGCGCAGACCUCCGCCAAGCGCAACAAUUCCUGGCAUAUUGUGAUUUCCACCAUAAAUAUUAGUCCCACAUAUACUUCGACUACAUAUUUAGAUUCCUUGACCAUAAAAACAUACCGUUAGUCACUGGAAUCAUAACAAUAUAUGUCUUAGUUCAAUAGUUAUUCACGAAAAAAAAUUCACCCUUUGAAACAAUUUUAAUUUGUGCGGCACGAGCGCCUCAGCGGCGGCUACGAGGCACGUUCACGAACUCUCCUUCGGCGUGAGGUUUCAGCUUCGUGGCUAUUAAUUCACUCACCACAAAACUUGCACGCGUAACAUUCUCUCUGUCGGUACAUGGUCGUGUGAAACCUGCUCGUUGAGCCUCCAAACUCCGGCGAAGAGCGUUAAUUUUAUCCAAACUCAUCUGUCCUUUCAACUCGCCGAGUUUAGCGUGUUUCGCUAAGCAUUUUUCGUCCGUGUCAAUCAGUCCAGCCCACUACGUACAUCACAUGCUGUGUUCACUGACCCUGACCUUGACUCGGACAUAACAUAACCGUCUGUUUUAUCUCAGAAAACGGGAAAAUAUUUCCUCUUGUUACGAAAGAAAUUUCAGGAUACGAAAGGCAAAAAUACGCUACCGCUGCUACUCGCAGCUCGCGGAGUUUAGCGAACGGUCCGACUGUAUAAGUGCACAUAUAAAAUAUAAAAAUCUUAUUGCGUUGCGGGCAGGUAGAAAUGGUCUCGUAGCCCGUAUACGGCCCGGAGGCCGGAGGUUCCCCACCCCUGAAUUAAAGGAUCAAGAGAUGAUAUUUAAGGAUAAUAUCAUAAUCUGGUGUUAGGUUCAAACGACCUGAAACAUGAGAAACAAAUGAGGCAAAGACAACAGUUUAGAAAUUUACUUGCAAGGAGAACGGAGAGAUGUGCUCAGUUACAGAUCUCCAACAUGUUCUGACGCACACCUCCCGCCAUCCUUCUUUUAUUGAGAUUAGGAGGUCCCUAGUUACACAGAAUUCAAAUGUGUCUAAGGGAGGGGAAAACACAAGAUAGCAGGUCCCAAACAAAGCAAAAGACUGUAAAUCAUAAUGGUGAGAUUAUACGUAGGUCUUCACUGAUUUGAUUAGCUUAGGUCGCACACAGCACAUUCUUCCAUAUCAGAAUAAAAGAACACCUCCUGGGUCAUGACUGCAGCUCUAUCUCCAGUCAAUGUCACUUCUCCACAGCAGCUGCAUUUCUGUCGCCCUUGACCAGAGAAGUUCAAGUUGACACAUCAAGCAUCAUGAACAUUAAGCAUUAACAAAUAAUAAGAAACAGUAAUGAGAAUCAAUAUAACAAGAAUAAAGAAUAUAACAAGGUAAAAGCAAAUAAGAGAUAACUUUAAUAUAAUGGAUCUAACAUCUGGCCUAUUUUUUUUUUUUUUAAUGCUGCUGCCUUGUUUUAAUUCCCAGUUCAGAGUUUUUAGCCACCUUGCAUCAUCAGGCGGCGAUAAACUGCAUGGCAAUUACAGCUAAACCUGCUUUAAACUCCCCGAUCCACUUAACACGUGUCUGCCACUGGCUUAAGCACUGCACUAAGGUAUUGCACGACUUUGCUGAUUAAGUGCAUCUGGCUGCUUUCCUAGUUAUAUUUUUGUUUCAUGGCUGUGCAAUUUCACACUGCAUCUUGUUUUUUGGACUUUCACAAAGCUUAUGAGAAAUAUUAAGUCUUUAAUCUCAUGUCUUCAAUCUCAUUUUUUUUUUUUUUUUGCAGGGUCAACUCUGAAGCGACUCUGUCUUGGCAAAGAGCGCGGCAGCAGUAUGUGGAAUUACAAUACCAUCAAAAAUAUUAACUAUGGUGGAACACUGACUGCAUGUGUGUCUACUCAGGGUCUGGAGCUGGGCCAGGGGCUUUUGGUCAGCCAGCGCAGCCACCUGGCAGUGCCACGCCGUCUUCCCAGCAGUGCCACGCCGUCUUCCCGGCAGCCAGUAAUGGGACUGGCUCAAGCUCAGGCCAAUAACAGCAACAGGUUGUGCCACAAACACACAGACGGGCGAUUCAGAGGUGCGUGUCAUGACAUUCACCUUUCAAAUGCAUGAAAAAUAAACAACAGUCAUAGAUGAUAGGGGUGGAUGGCUACAUGCAUGCAGUUGAUCUAAAGCAGCUAGUUUGUGUUACACUCAAAUAAAAUAAUUUUAAGUGUU
rnacentral:lncRNA from 1 species